AACUUUAAAAAUCAUAUAGUCUCAGAAAUGCUUCAUCUGAGAUACAACUCAAAACAAGAUGCUUCCAAGACUCUUUUACUAAAGAUUGUGAAGCUGUAUUAUCUAAAAAAAUGUUCUUAUAUUUUACUGAAAUUUUAUGUAACAUUGUUAUUAGAAAUUUUAAGAAGAAAUUAGAGACAUAUAUUUGGUAAGAUUUUGCACAUUUUUUACAGUGUGGAACUGGUGGUUAGACAUGAUCUUUGAAUAAAUUAAUUCAUAAAUAAAUCAUGAUUAUGUCUUCCCAGUAAUGGAGGUGUCCUUGGUUUCCCUCCAGACUGCAUUUAGACACAG